rnacentral:rRNA from 1 species
AUUGAACGCUGGCGGCAGGCCUAACACAUGCAAGUCGAGCGGAGCGUCGUACGGGUGCGUAAUGCCUAGGAAUCUGCCCGGUAGUGGUGGAUAACGUCCGGCAACGGGCGCUAAUACCGCAUCCUAUCAGAUGAGCCUAGGUCGGAUUCGCGAGUUGGUGGGGUAAUGGCCUACCCAGGCGACGAGCCGUAACUGGUCUGAGCGGAUGAUCAGUCACACUGGAACUGAGACACGGUCCAGACUCCUACGGGAGGCAGCAGUGGGGAAUAUUGGACAAUGGGCGAAAGCCUGAUGCAGCCAUGCCGAGUGUGUGAAGAAGGUCUUCGGAUUGUAAAGUACUUUAAGUUGGGAGGCGUUACCAACAGAAUAAGCACCGGCUAACUUCGUGCCAGCCGCCGCGGUAAUUC